rnacentral:misc_RNA from 1 species
GAUCAGUUUUUUAUUCUGAUUUCUAGGUAAAAUUUUUGUGAUGCAUAUUUUUGUGGAUUAUUAUUCUUUAGUGAAUUAUAUAGCUAUAAUCAGCAUUUUUUUCAUGAUGAUUCAAGUCUUGCUCAAGUUUUGUGAAGCAGAAAUUCUAAACUAACCCAAAAUGUUGUCCUUUCAAUUUUCAUAGAUAGAUUAAGGGCCUGUUUGGAUUAACUGAUGAAUACAACUGAUAGCUGGUAGCUGAUAGCUGUUACUGUUAGC